CAGCCGCCGCGGGAAAACGGAGGGUGCAAGCGUUAUCCGGAUUUAUUGGGUUUAAAGGGUCCGUAGGCGGAUCUGUAAGUCAGUGGUGAAAUCUCACAGCUUAACUGUGAAACUGCCAUUGAUACUGCAGGUCUUGAGUAAAUUUGAAGUGGCUGGAAUAAGUAGUGUAGCGGUGAAAUGCAUAGAUAUUACUUAGAACACCAAUUGCGAAGGCAGGUCACUAAGAUUUAACUGACGCUGAUGGACGAAAGCGUGGGGAGCGAACAGGAUUAGAUACCCCAGUAGUCCCUGUCUCUUAUAC
rnacentral:rRNA from 1 species